UAUAUAUAUAUUUUUUUUCUCUUCUUCCUUUU
rnacentral:sRNA from 1 species